rnacentral:rRNA from 1 species
UAGGGAAUCUUCCGCAAUGGACGCAAGUCUGUCGGAGCAACGCCGCGCGAGUGAAGAAGGAUUUCGGUUCGUAAAACUCUGUUGUUAGAGAAGAACAGCGCAUAGAGUAACUGUUAUGCGUGUGACGGUAUCUAACCAGAAAGCCACGGCUAACUACGUGCCAGCAGCCGCGGUAAUACGUAGGUGGCAAGCGUUGUCCGGAUUUAUUGGGCGUAAAGCGAGCGCAGGCGGUCAAUUAAGUCUGAUGUGAAAGCCCCCGGCUCAACCGGGGAGGGUCAUUGGAAACUGGUUGACUUGAGUGCAGAAGAGGAGAGUAGAAUUCCAUGUGUAGCGGUGAAAUGCGUAGAUAUAUGGAGGAACACCAGUGGCGAAGGCGACUCUCUGGUCUGUAACUGACGCUGAGGCUCGAAAGCGUGGGUAGCAAACAGG